UACGAAGGGGGCUAGCGUUGCUCGGAAUCACUGGGCGUAAAGGGCGCGUAGGCGGCCUGAUCAGUCGGGGGUGAAAGCCUGUGGCUCAACCACAGAAUGGCCUUCGAUACUGUCGGGCUUGAGUCCGGAAGAGGUGAGUGGAACUCCUAGUGUAGAGGUGGAAUUCGUAGAUAUUAGGAAGGAACACCAGUGGCGAAGGCGGCUCACUGGUCCGGUACUGACGCUGAGGUGCGAAAGCGUGGGGAGCAAACAGG
rnacentral:rRNA from 1 species